rnacentral:rRNA from 1 species
GGGUCAGUAGGUUGGUCGUGCCACCGGUACGUACUGGUCUCACUGACUCCUCCUUCCUGAAGAACCGUAAUGCCAUUAAUUUGGUGUUGCGGGGAAACAGGGCUGUUACUUUGAAAAAAUUAGAGUGUUUAAAGCAAGCUAACGCUUGAAUACAUUAGCAUGGAAUAAUGAAAUAGGACGAUCGAUCCUAUUUUGUUGGUUUCUAGGAUUGACGUA